AAUAUUGCACAAUGGGCGCAAGCCUGAUGCAGCAACGCCUCGUGAGCGAUGAAGGCCUUUGGGUCGUAAAGCUCUGUCCCAGGGGAAGAAAAAAAUGACGGUACCCCUGGCGGAAGCCCCGGCUAACUACGUGCCAGCAGCCGCGGUAAUACGUAGGGGGCGAGCGUUAUCCGGAAUUAUUGGGCGUAAAGAGUGCGUAGGUGGUUUUGUAAGCGCGGGGUGAAAGGCUAUGGCUCAACCAUAGUAAGCCUUGCGAACUGUGAGACUUGAGUGCAGGAGAGGAAAGUGGAAUUCCUAGUGUAGCGGUGAAAUGCGUAGAUAUUAGGAGGAACACCAGUGGCGAAGGCGACUUUCUGGACUGUAACUGACACUGAGGCACGAAAGCGUGGGGAGCAAACA
rnacentral:rRNA from 1 species